AAGGAUCAUUGAACACGUCUGUCCAUACCGGUCACGGAGUGUCCCCCGGGCCAACCGCGAGGAAGGCUUCCUCGCGGGAGGGCAAGGAGCGGGCUGUCUGGGGCGUGGAACUUGUCCGCUUAUUUUCAAAGCGGUUGGGCUUUUACCCCGGACGUGAGACCGAGACAGCCUUGCGGGCCGGGCUCGCCGCAGGCGCGGCAGCCCUGUCGGCCCUGUCCGACCCUUCAAUCCAGGAGCUGAAGCUUUUGACCAGUCCGCGAGGCCGCUUCAACAAGCGUGGAGCGGCACGGCCGGACUGCCAACGGAACACAACUCUCAACAACGGAUAUCUUGGCUCCCGCACCGAUGAAGAACGCAGCGAAAUGCGAUACCUAGUGUGAAUUGCAGAAUCAUGUGAAUCAUCGAGUCUUUGAACGCACAUUGCGCCCGAGGUUUAGGCCAAGGGCAUGGCUGGCUCAGCGUCGACGCAGCAUCUCGCCCGCGAGGCGGGCGGACCUUGGUUCCCUCGGCUUAAGCUUUGGCCGGGCGGACUGAAGCGCAAGGCCCUCGACGCCUUCCGCCGUUUGGAGGCAGCACGGUAGGUUGCCCUCUUCGGGCUGCUGUGCCGGGAUUGCAGGUCAGGCGACGGAGGCACGAAUAGUCGAGGACGGCAGGAGAAGCACCCAUCCAUUCGACCUGAGCUCAGGCAAGAGCACCCGCUGAACUUAA
rnacentral:sRNA from 1 species